AGGCCAUAAACAGGGAGCUGAAUGGCAAGUGGAACAGCCAGAACACGAACUGGCACCCAUAUGGGAUGCUGGUGGUGCUUGCAGGUAAAAGAUUAACCUGGCCCCCUUAAGAACGUUUUCGUCAUCCGAAAUAUAGAUCCCAUAUUUUAAGAGUCGUCCUUCAUUCUUCCAUUCACCUAGUUCAAUUUGAUGAUUUACCUACGUUUUGUGUAGGAAUGUCUUUUCUGGACAUUUUAUACAAAUGAAAUCUUUAUAUGUGUACUUUAAUUUAUUGUGCUUUCAAGGGUACAUCUAUGUAAUUGUAUUUUAUUCUUUUUAUGGCUAUAAAUGAUGCCACUUCAUGGAUAUAGCACAUUUUGAUUACCAGCUAAUCAACUGAUGAAUAUUUUUUUUCUAUUUUCUUGUCUAUUGCAACUUAUAAUUUGCCAACUUUUUUUGUGCCGUAUGUUUUCAGUUGUUUUGAGUAUGUCCCUAAGAAUGAAGUUAGUAUCACACAACGUAAUGGAACCACGGUCAUUCAAGUUCAGACUGUUGAGGAAUUUCUAGACUGUUUUCAAAAGCAGCUCAGUAUCUUGCAUUCAUAUCAGUAGUAUAUGAGGGCUCCAGUUGCUCUGUCUUGUCAUCAUCCAUCCUGGUAGACGGGAAAUGGUGCCUCUGUGUUUUGAUUUGCCUUUCUUUUACUGCUAGUCAUACCGAGCAUCUUUUCCUGUCCUUUUUGGACAUCUGUGUAUAUCCCUUGGAGACAUGUGUGAAAAGGCUCUCAUUCUUUGCCUGUGUUUGUAUUGAUUACUUUUUAUUAUUCAGUUGGAAGAGUCCUUAAAUGUGAUCUACAUAUACAUACAGUUACAUAUGUUUUGCACAUAUUUUCCCUCUUCAUGUGAAUUGCCUUUUUACUUUCUUAGUGGUAUCAUUCUGGAUAUUAAAAGUUUCAGCUUGUAGUCAAUGUUCUUUUUUUUUUUUCUAGUUGACAUUGCACUUUUGGUGUCAUGGCUAAGAAACCUUUGCCUAGCUAAGAUCACAAAAAAUUUAUUGUUUUUGUUCUAAAUACUUUAUGGCUUGCACUUAGGUCCUUGAUCAGUUGGGACUUAACUUCAGAAUAGGAUAUUACUGUGGAGGGAGUCUAACACUGCUCUGCGUGUGGGUCUCCACUUGUCCCAGUCCCAUGUGUUAGGAAGGUUAUUCUUUCCUCCAUUGACUUCUCUUGUUACUCUUGUCAGAGACCAGUUGAACAGUCAUCACAGUUGGUUUGGAAAUUUCAGUCCUUGUCUAUUGAU